AAUGCCCAAUUAAAUUUGAUUCUCAGAUCAGCAAUGAAUAAUUUUUUAGUAUAAAUGUGUUCCAUGCAAUAUUUGGGACAUACUUAUGCUAUAAAUAAUUUGUUGUUGAUCAGACAUUUAAAUUUGAAUU
rnacentral:miRNA from 10 species